GAAAGUGAAGCUAUAGGAUUGAAUAAGUCAGAUGUUGUCUUAAGCAAAUAAAGAUGUUCUGCAUCACUAUGGAAACAGAUGGGAAUUUAGUUAUGUAUUAAUGAAGAAAUCACUGAUGACAGCUGUAGAAAACUAGGGAUAUGGUGUAGUCAAAAGGGAGGAAAAUGAUACAAAUGCUAACUGGAAUUCAUAAGAUUGUUCUACAGCCAUUCUAAUUUCUUCUCCCAUCAAAAAGAUGUGCAUUUUAAGCAGGAUGGAGACAUUAAAGUGGCCCAUAUGUAAACCAACAGAAGAUCCCAUUUUCUGGAGACAUCACUUCUGCUUCUGGUCCUAUCAACCUACCUCCUAAGGAUGUCACUUCUACUUCUGGUCCCUUUGAACCCACCUCUUCCUGUCACCCGGCUUUGUAAUGGACAUAUUUCCAUUUUGUACGUCUUUAAAGACCUCUUGCAUUAAUUUAACCUGAUUGCCAAGUACCUUUUACCCAUUUUACACAAUGUAAACUGCAGAAUAACUGAAAAAGUUCUUCAGAGCAUAAAGUUUGUACGUUGUAUUCAUCAUUUUUGAAGUGUAAUAUGUUUGUCAUUUCAACACACAUUAUAAUAAUGGUUUGGUGAUAUAAAUUAUUAUCUGUGUGAGUCAUCAUUUAGCAGGUUUGACUAUAUCUCCCUACUUGAUCAAGGGUGUUGUCAUUUCCCAGUAUCUCCAAAAUGUUGUAUGUGCACAGGUCAGAGUUGCCAUAAAUGUAAGCAUGUUCCCCCAUCAUGUUUUUAAGCUCUCAAAAAAUGUGUAUGCACAUUUCAAGCUUCUAGUUUUUAUGCAUACAAAAGCUUUUUAAAUGAGGCUCCAAGAGUUCAAGCAACAAUAUCUUAUAUUAAAACAGGCCUUGUGAUGAAAAAGGUUGUUUGCCUAAACUCUGAGUCGAGUCAGCCAAAUUCUAAGCCACAUGAAUUAACAGUUGGCAGUAUUGCUCUUCUAAUUACAGUUGUGAAGAAAACUUUUACCUUCUGUUGUCAUUUUUUUACAUUAAAGGUAAAUUAAUUUGACUCAUCUACCAUUUCGCAUCCCUAAAGAAAUUACUUAAUAACAUACUGUAACUGAAGAGGUAUUAUCAGUUUAAUUUACACACACAGCGGAGUAAAAUCAACAUCUGAAUGCAAGUUGAUAUUAUCUGUCUCACAUUUGGUAAUAGGAGCACAUAACAAGAAAAAGAAGAAAGGUUCCCAGUGCCAAAUCCAGGAAU